UUGUAACGGUCACUAUAAUAAAGGCGAUGAAGAUGAAGAUAAUCCACAAAAUGACUUUAAUUAUAAUCCACACGAAUACAAGGAAGUAACUCUGGGUAGCAGAAACACAUGUAACACAAAACAAUAACCAACAAACUACUAAACAGAAGGAAGACUUUAAGUAGGGCAGCUGAUGAGGGGAAAACAGGUGAAGGGAGUUAACUAAUGACUAACAAGCAAAUUAAUCAAAAACCAUGGAAACAUAUAGACAAUGGUACAUAGUGAAAUGUGGAGGCAGAAACAGAACAUAACCAUAACAACUAUAGAAAAUGUUUUAAUUUGUCAUUUGAAUGUGACAUGUUCAUAGCGAGGUCUUUUUUCACAAGUUAUGCCCCAGUAACAUAAUUUGUUUUCCAUAUGUAAAUUGACUCAAUAAUGAGCAGCCUAAAUGGGCUAAAUGUAAUACAGCAGAAAAUCACACACAUGGAUCAUCAGGAACUGCAGGAUUAUGAGUCAGUCCAACGUGGAACAGCCUUGGAGUUGAUACAGAGGGAGUCAGUGAUUAUCACUAAGACCUUUGGAAGCUUUUCACUACAAAUCACAUUCCUUUUUUCUUGGAGAUGCCUCCAGCCCAUGAGCAUUUGUCGAAACAUUUGAAUAAUUACCAAACCAGUCUAAUGAUAAAUGGUUUCACGCA